UUUACAUGAAAACGGUUGUGCGGAUUCCCGUGCAAAGUUCAGUAGAUUUUCUCCAUAGUACGAAGCAAAUCCCUUAAAAUUUUCAAAGGAAUCCACACAAGCGUUCUCUUGUAACAAUUAAAUUGCCCAGUUAAACUUGGCAAUAGCUGAUGUGGCUUGGUUCCUUUCUGUUAAAGGCGGACCAUUUUACUUAUCGUAUAGAAGACUGUUUGAUUGCAACUUGAAAUUCAAUUUUUGUUUGUUCCAGGAACCGGAGCUCCGAGUGACGUCAUGGUGGUGACGAAAGUGCGCGUGGUGCUCGUGCGAUGAGGAAGUGCUAACCGGUGUGGUAUCUCGCAUCAACCUCGCGGAGUCCCUCGGGAGUGUCUUGUUGCCGGUGUGCCCCCGGAGGAGUUUUCAAAUACGGCGCGCCCCCGGCUCGUCGCAAUCGGCGGACGAUCGUUGCCUUGGACCGGGACCCCCUUAUGAGGUUGCGCUCCCAGCUGAGCCGAAUCGGACGGGCCCCCCGGAAAAAAGUGCGCUCCGACCGUGGCCGAUGUCGGCGCUGAGCCCCAUCGCCUGCCGCCGCCCGUGAAUUUUAUUAUCGAAUUAUCGCUGUGAUAGUGACCGGUGAUUAGUGAUCAGUGUCCAGUGUCCGGUGAUCAGUGUCCAGUGAUCAGUGUCCAGUGCCAAAAUGAGCGAGUUCCCGUCGAGGAAGAUCUCCCUCCUCCGCGUCCGAUCGACAGAUGGAGAUGGGCCGGAGACGGGGCCAAACCUGGACGAGGAGAUGGAGAAGGUGUUCGCGAUGGAGGGCGAACGCUUCGACGUGGCACGCCUCGCAUCCUCGCCCGAGGCCACUCCGCCCGAGAAACGUUUCAACGAGCGCGACUACAGCUUUCACCGCAAGAAGAGCUACCCUCACACACAUGUGCCUCUCAAAGCAAUCCACUCUCGCUCGAUGAAAAAAACGCUCCUCUGUGCCCACGAGAGAUAGCUCAGAGAGUAACGAAGUUAGCAGCGGAGAUGCCCAGAAACGUUCUCCAUCCUUAUCAGAAAAGGGAGGAAGUGAAGCAGUGGCAGAGAAUGGUGGUGAAAUCUCUGUCGGACAAUCAAUUCCAGCCCAAGAUUCCUUUGAUGACAGUAGUCAAGCACCCAAGCCCUCGAUUCCACCAACACCACCUCCUGUAGAUUUUAAAACUAGCAACCAAGCGCUCAACGAAGGCAGCUCUUCACCACCAGGGUGUCAGAUUUCAAGUCCUGAUUGUGAAGAGAGUUCAACAAGAGAUGUAUUGUUCAGCAGUGGUAGUGAGCCACAAAUUUCAGAACGAGCUGCCACCUUGCCUGAUGCCUCAAUUUUGAGUAGUUCUCCUGACAGGCGGGUCCAGUUUGAAAUAGAUGGAAUUGAGGAAGAACACGGAACUCAAUUAAUACCUCUAGUUGAAAGGAAAACUACAACAGGUGAUGCUGAGGACUCGCCACAAGACAGUGAUAAAAGGUCAAAACGGAGACACAGUGGUAGACACUACUAUCACCAUAAAUCAAGGAAGCACAGUACCUCUGAAGAUCCUAAAAGAGAAAACGAUCAGGCGCCGAGUAUUUAG
rnacentral:lncRNA from 1 species